AUUGAACGCUGGCGGCAGGCCUAACACAUGCAAGUCGAGCGGAUGAAGGGAGCUUGCUCCUGGAUUCAGCGGCGGACGGGUGAGUAAUGCCUAGGAAUCUGCCUGGUAGUGGGGGAUAACGUCCGGAAACGGGCGCUAAUACCGCAUACGUCCUGAGGGAGAAAGUGGGGGAUCUUCGGACCUCACGCUAUCAGAUGAGCCUAGGUCGGAUUAGCUAGUUGGUGGGGUAAAGGCCUACCAAGGCGACGAUCCGUAACUGGUCUGAGAGGGUGAUCAGUCACACUGGAAUUGAGACACGGUCCAGACUCCUACGGGAGGCAGCAGUGGGGAAUAUUAGACAAUGGGCGAAAGCCUGAUCCAGCCAUGCCGCGUGUGUGAAGAAGGUCUUCGGAUUGUAAAGCACUUUAAGUUGGGAGGAAGGGCAGUAAGUUAAUACCUUGCUGUUUUGACGUUACCAACAGAAUAAGCACCGGCUAACUUCGUG
rnacentral:rRNA from 1 species